UCCGGUUUGGCACCGGCAGUCCCCCGAGAGUCCUCAGCGCUUUGCAGCCUGUUAGCAACACGGGGCGGGGGUUGCGCUCGUUGCGGGACUUAACCCAACAUCUCACGACACGAGCUGACGACAGCCAUGCAGCACCUGUGCUGGAGCUCCGAAGAGGGGCACCUGUUUCCAGGCGCUUUCCCCAGCAUGUCAAGCCUAGGUAAGGUUCUGCGCGUUGCGUCGAAUUAAACCACAUGCUCCACCGCUUGUGCGGGCCCCCGUCAAUUCCUUUGAGUUUCAGCCUUGCGGCCGUACUCCCCAGGCGGGGCACUUAAUGCGUUAGCGCCGGCACCCAGGGGGUCGCUCCCCCAGGCACCUAGUGCCCAUCGUUUACGGCGUGGACUAC
rnacentral:misc_RNA from 1 species